ACUGCUCAGUAACACGUGGACAACCUACCCUGAGGUCGGGGAUAAACCCGGGAAACUGGGUAUAAUACCCGAUAGAUCUAGAUUGCUGGAAUGCUUUUAGGUCUAAAGUUCCGACGCCUCAGGAUGGGUCUGCGGCCUAUCAGGGUAGUAGUGGGUGUAACGUACCUACUAGCCCACGACGGGUACGGGUUGUGAGAGCAAGAGCCCGGAGAUGGAUUCUGAGACACGAAUCCAGGCCCUACGGGGUGCAGCAGGCGCGAAACCUUUACAAUGCUGGCAACAGCGAUAAGGGGACCUCGAGUGCUACGAUACAAUCGUGGCUGUCUAGUUGCCUAAAAAGCAAUUGAUAGCAAGGGCCGGGCAAGACCGGUGCCAGCCGCCGCGGUAACACCGGCGGCUCGAGUGGUAACCGCUAUUAUUGGGUCUAAAGGGUCUGUAGCCGGCUUAGUUAGUCUCUUGAGAAAUCUGGCCGCUCAACGGUCAGGCGUUCAGGGGAUACUGCUAAAGCUCGAGACCGGGAGAGGUGAGAGGUACUUCAGGGGUAGGGGUGAAAUCUUGUAAUCCUUGAAGGACCACCAGUGGCGAAGGCGUCUCACCAGAACGGAUCUGACGGCAAGGGACGAAAGCUAGGGGCACGAACCGGAUUAGAUACCCGGGUAGUCCUAGCCGUAAACGAUACUCGCUAGGUGUCGGCCACGGUGCGACCGUGGUCGGUGCCGUAGGGAAGCCGUGAAGCGAGCCACCUGGGAAGUACGGCCGCAAGGCUGAAACUUAAAGGAAUUGGCGGGGGAGCAC
rnacentral:rRNA from 1 species